CUUUUACUUUAAAAUUAUUUUUAUUCUAAAUACCUUUUUCUCAUAAGUAAAAAUUUAUUAAUUAUAAGAUCAGGAAAAAUUUAAGGGUCGCCUACUAAACCAGGCCUAUAGAAUAUCCCCAACCUAAGCAUAUUUAUUUAGCAUAUUUAUUUAGUACCCUAAUAUGACAGCUUAUCGCGCAAACCAAGUCCACCACAUAUUAUGCCAACCCAGGCGUAGCAGUCAUAUCUUUUGAAUAAGGAGAUUCACACCAUGCUCGGGCUCCAAAAGCAGACCGUAAGUAGGCGAGUGUUGAUAAUUGGGAGAGAUUGUAAAUUUGAAUUUGGAGAGUAUGACAGCAAAGAACACCUUCAAUUCUAUCACAGCCAAAUUCUGCCCAGGACACACUCGAGCUCCCAAGCCAAAAGGUAU
rnacentral:misc_RNA from 1 species